rnacentral:lncRNA from 1 species
GGGCUAAGCCAUAUUAGAAUAAUAAUUAUAAAUCGAGUCGAUCUUAUUUUUUACUUAUCGAUUAGGGUGUUGAGAUUUCUUAUAAAUAUACGGACGAUUCUCUCAUAAAGAGAUAUAAGAAGAAAUAGAAAAAAAUACUCUUAAGUUUGUGAGAAAUUUGUGAACUAUUUUGUGAAAAAGUAAAACCACAUUUUUUAUUAACCUAUUACUUCUAAAGGUUUUGAACGGUACAUUAUAGGUCUAGCUUGUUCGUAGCUCGAUCUAUCAUGGGUUUGGAGCAUUAAAAAAUUUUCGUGGACGAUUCGAGAACACGUGAAUCAACAUCUACGAUUCAGGAUUGUCGCGUUCUAACACGAGCCGCUUUCAUUAACCUACUACUUCUAGAGGGUCUUGAACGGUGAAUUAUAUGUCUAGCUUGUUCGUAGCUCGAUUUGUCACGGCUUUGGAGUAUUAGGAGACCUUCGUGGACGAUCUGAAAACACGUGAAUCAACCAUUACGAUUCGGAACUGUCGCGUUCUAACACGAGUCAUUUCGAAAAAGAUACAAACAAAUAUUUUUGCUGCGUUCUACAUUCAAACGAAUAUUUUCGCUGCGUUCUAUAAUUAUUAUUUUUUCUAAAAUUUCAAAUAGCUAUAU